UCCCUGGUGGUUCAGUGGCUAAGACACUGAGCUCUCAACGCAGGGGGCUUGGGUUCAAUUCCUGGUCGGGGAA
rnacentral:tRNA from 1 species